UGAGGAAUAUUGGGCAAUGCCCGCAAGGGUGACCCAGCAACGCCGCGUGGAGGAUGAAUGUCGUAAGAUUGUAAACUCCUGUCAGAGGGGAAGAAUAGUACCGGUUGGACCGGUAUAUGACUGUACCCUCAGAGAAAGCCCCGGCUAACUACGUGCCAGCAGCCGCGGUAAUACGUAGGGGGCAAGCGUUGUCCGGAUUUACUGGGUGUAAAGGGCGCGCAGGCGGGAUAAAAAGUCAGUGGUGAAGUCCUACAGCUUAACUGUAGAACUGCCUUUGAUACUUUUAUUCUUGAGUUCGGGAGAGAGAGACGGAAUUCCAGGUGUAGUGGUGAAAUACGUAGAUAUCUGGAAGAACACCAGUUGCGAAGGCGGUCUCUUGGUCCGACACUGACGCUGAGGCGCGAAAGCGUGGGGAGCAAACA
rnacentral:rRNA from 1 species